rnacentral:lncRNA from 1 species
CCCGCCACCGUUCUCAAGCGAGAAGCCACAGCUGCCGCCAAGGUCUGCAAGUGCGGAGAUGAGGUGGGGUCCCAGCCUGAGCCCCGCUGCUGCUGGUCUUGCUUGAGCUUGCCGAGCGCGUACAUGACAAUUGCGAGGUUCUGAGGUUCCGCCUUCCCAAGAACCUCAGGAUCCACUAGCCGCUCCAGCAGAGCUGCUGCAAGCUGAGCCUCCGUGCCGCCGCCGACCAAUCCAGCUUUGCCCAGCGCCCACAGCGGAAUGCUGCAGUUCUUUGCGUUGCGGAUGCGCGGCACGAGCGGCAGGUAGGCCGGCGCAAGCAUGCCGAUAAUGCUGCUGCGUGCUACAGCCGUUUGGCUUGCUCCAGCGCGCGACUCCAGCUGCGUUCAAAGCAGUUAUGAGGGACAUACAUGGGGUCAAGUGCUAUAUGCAUGUGUUUGUGCGUGUGCGUGAACAGGUGCGCAUGCAAGUCCUGUGUGGCCAUCUGCGUCGUGAGAACCGGAAGUCCGGGCCGAGAACGACAACAAUGGACUCGCCCUCCAUUCUGCACUUCAUUUCUGUGCCCAUUCCCACCUGCACGUAUUAGUCCUCCCUCUCACCUUGCCGCACAGGUUGAACGCCGCACACAUGGUAAUGAAGUCUUUUCGGCCCUCCCACACUGAUAGCCGCUGGCUGAUGAUUGCUUGCAGCUCCUCCAGAGUCCGACACACGGUCAUGUCAUCCGCGGGGUCACGCCCGCUGCCCCUGCUUCUGCCGCUGGCGCGGCUGCCAUCGCCUGCCCUGCCUCCGCCGCUUCCCCUACCCGCCGCCGCCUGCACUAUUGGCCGCCCGAGGCGGGAGCUACUGCUGCCGCAGAGCACUACCGCCGUCGAGACGCGCAGUGGGGAUGAGCUGCUACUGUUGAGUGCUGGGACAGAAGUAGCGGCGGCAGCGCGCGGUGAGCUGGGGCCGGUGUCGGCAGCGGUCCGAUGCAUGCCAUAAACGAACAGUCUUCUAAACGCGCACGCCGGUGGCGGUGCCUGGAGACGGGCUGAUAACGAUUGGCUACAGCCAUGUACGCUGUGCCUGUGCGCACCAGCGGGAGAGCCCGCGACGACGCGCAGGGCGAGCAUCUCGGGCCUCCUCACGGCGGCGACCUGAGCUAUAGCGACUCUAUCCGUCUACGUGUCUGAGCACUGCAAAUGCAUUAGGCUUGCAUUUGUGGGAGAAUAACGCAAGGAACGAAAGGUCAGGUGCGUGUAGGUCGCUGGGCCAAAGCCGCCUGAGUAGCUGUGGCUUGGUAUGGAUGAUAAAGCAACUGAAUCAAUUUGCCACCGGUGUUGAGGCGAGGGCGACCUGACCGCGAAAUACACGGCCCGAGGGCACGCCCCGUAUCAACACCCCUCGCGACCUCCAAACACGUGCACUGAACCGCGAAGCCCUCCCCCAAGCCUAUCGCGGCUGCUAUUCCCAUGUCCUCCUCCCCAACCAUUCUGCAUACAGGCUCUGGCGUGAGUCCCUGCCCGCGUCAUUUGACACCCGUCGACCACGACUGAGGUGCAACGCAUGUCGCUUACAAAUCCAACAUCCCGCCCGACACGAGAGGGGCAGAAACGGCGGGGCAGACGGCCAGCCUCUUGAACAUGAGCAUAGCAGUGCAAUAUCGCACAUUGGGUCCCCGCCUGCUUCACCUGGCCACCUUUGCUGAUUUGUCUGACAUCCCUGUCUACACACUUUUAUCCGCCCACGCUUGAGACGUCCUCCUCAGCGCGCAGGCUUCACGGUACCAACCGUGCGGUAUCAUCGCUACAUGAUGAGUGCACUGCCCCAACCAUUGAAGCAUCACAAGGUGCUUGCCUGCCGCCGCCGCCGCUGAUACGUACACGAUUGCUGCCACACAACCAACACAUCACACCCAACAAUCACAACAACAAAACAACUGAGACCCGCCGCCGUGCAACGCACACUGUACACGCCCCAGGGCCGAGAACACAACGCAACACAAGCACCUGACAUGCCUCAUCCAGGCAUGCGUCACUCAAUCGCCCACCGAGCCGACCUCGCACACGCCGUUCGUGAGCCCCUGCGGCUGACAUGCCCGGCCCUGCCCCCUUGGCACCGCAGCCCUGCCGCCUUGGCACCGCCGCCCAUUGCCCCACCCCCAUGCUGCGUGCCAUGUAAGAAUAAAGCCAGGUCCCCAUCAAGCCGCAGCAUAUAUCCCCGCCAAGCCACCAGACUCCUCUUGCCGCACGCUACCAACCACCACCAGCACAGGACCGGCACCUGCCUGUCCCCCUGUUUAGUUUGGGCUGAUAUUUACAACCCCCCACCCUCCCCUCCCCACCUUCCCCAUUGCCAACCUCGCCCACCGCGCCGACAUGCACGCCGGCACCUCGCUCGUGCCUCUCGAGGCCUCCCAUCUUCCGUAGCUAGAGAUCCCUGUCCACGAGUAUCCACUUGGGCUCCAGCCCACUCCUGAUGCACACGCCGGCAUUACCCAGGUCUGCAUGGUUUGCAUGCCUGCCUGUCUACCGUGCACGCACACCUGCCUAGCUACGCAGACCUACUACCGUCCUUUUUGACCCGCCUCCGCCGCCACCGCCGCCGUCUCCUCCCUCUGGCCGCCGUGCCGGCCGCGCCAGCAGCUGCUGUUGUGGGUUGCCGCCAGAGCCGCCGCCGCCCUUGUUGCUGUUGGUGGUGGUGGUUGCGGGCUGGUGUGGCGCGGCCGUAGUGACAGCCGCAGCGCCGCCCACGGCACCCGCUGUCACUGUUUCCACCGCCACCGCCGGCUGCUGCAGCCGGCGCAGCAGGUAGGCCUCCUGCUCGGAAGGAGUCAGGAAGUCCCAUUCCCAGUACGGCACUAGUAGGACGCCGCCCUCCUUAAACGCCCGCCGCAGCUGCCGAAUGCGAAUGGCCGUACCCCCUUCCACAGCAGCGCUGGGGUCUUGCUGCUGCGUUUGUGUCAAGAGGUAACGUUUCGGUCCGAGGAACUCCACCGCCGCCUGCUGCCCGUCACUCAGCCGCACCACCGCAUCCACUGGCGCCAACACUCCUGGCGCGACAACGCCCGUCUGAAGGGACUGAACGGCUAGGCCCCCUGCUGCCUUGAGGCCCUGCUGCUCAAGCCGCCGCAGCGCUGCAACGACCUGCUUUUGAGUAUCUGAUGUGGGCUUGGCGUCUUCCCUCUCAGUAGUCACCGCCGCUGCCAUCGCCGCCUGCAGUCCGCUGCCGCUGCCCAGGGCCGCCGCCACCUCGCCGCCUAGCUCCUGCUGCGCCUGCCACAGCUGUUUGAGAUGCUCAGUUGUAAGACCCUCCCAACGGCUUACUGCUUCACGGGCCAGCUGAAUGGAUAGCUGCUUCAUGUCGGGAGAAUACGUGCCUCCGAACACAGCCAUGGCCCACAGGCUGUUGCAUACGUGCUGGUGCAGGACUGUGUCAGAGUCAUGCUGCAGCAGCUCGCCCAGCCGACCGCACACCGCCGCCUCCAAGCCAGCGUGCCGCAGCUGCAGCACCGCCAGCGCGUACAGCGUAUUGGCACAGUUCUGACCACCGGCACUACUGGCGCGCAUGGCUGCUACUGCUGCGCCCGAGUCAAGCAGCUCCGCCGGCGGCUGGUGGCGCAUCAACGCAAGCGCGUACAGCAGAUUGGACCAGGCCUGAGAUGUUGCGCGGGCCAUGGCGCCCGACUGCGUUGCUGCGUCCACCGCUGCUGAAACCCACUGCCGCUGCUCGGCCGGCGCCUCCGGGCCCGCCCCAAAUCCCAUCUUGGCUAGGGCCCACGCUGAGUUGCUGAGGUCCUGAGCGAUGUACCCGUCAAACCCCCGCCGCACGUCCUCUGCGGCCACUGCCACCACCAGCUCUGCCUGCUCGCUGCAUAGCUGCAGCCCCUCCAGCGCCAGCAGGAUGUUGGAUAGCUGUUGCGGGAUAAAUGCUGCAGCGAGCUCCGGUUUCCGGAGCCGCUGCAGUGCCUCCCCGCACAGCGCCUCAACUGCUGACCGGUACUCUGGUCCUGUGCACCCCAGAGCUUUGAGAGCCCAUAGGCUGUUUGAAACAUCUUGCGGCUUGAAGCCGUGGCCCGCCACCGUUCUCAAGCGAGAAGCCACAGCUGCCGCCAAGGUCUGCAAGUGUGGCGAUGAGGUGGGGUCCCAGCCUGAGCCCCGCUGCUGCUGGUCUUGCUUGAGCUUGCCGAGCGCGUACAUGACAAUUGCGAGGUUCUGAGGUUCCGCCUUCCCAAGAACCUCAGGAUCCACUAGCCGCUCCAGCAGAGCUGCUGCAAGCUGAGCCUCCGUGCCGCCGCCGACCAAUCCAGCUUUGCCCAGCGCCCACAGCGGAAUGCUGCAGUUCUUUGCGUUGCGGAUGCGCGGCACGAGCGGCAGGUAGGCCGGCGCAAGCAUGCCGAUAAUGCUGCUGCGUGCUACAGCCGUUUGGCUUGCUCCAGCGCGCGACUCCAGCUGCGUUCAAAGCAGUUAUGAGGGACAUACAUGGGGUCAAGUGCUAUAUGCAUGUGUUUGUGCGUGUGCGUGAACAGGUGCGCAUGCAAGUCCUGUGUGGCCAUCUGCGUCGUGAGAACCGGAAGUCCGGGCCGAGAACGACAACAAUGGACUCGCCCUCCAUUCUGCACUUCAUUUCUGUGCCCAUUCCCACCUGCACGUAUUAGUCCUCCCUCUCACCUUGCCGCACAGGUUGAACGCCGCACACAUGGUAAUGAAGUCUUUUCGGCCCUCCCACACUGAUAGCCGCUGGCUGAUGAUUGCUUGCAGCUCCUCCAGAGUCCGACACACGGUCAUGUCAUCCGCGGGGUCACGCCCGCUGCCCCUGCUUCUGCCGCUGGCGCGGCUGCCAUCGCCUGCCCUGCCUCCGCCGCUUCCCCUACCCNNNNNNNNNNNNNNNNNNNNNNNNNNNNNNNNNNNNNNNNNNNNNNNNNNNNNNNNNNNNNNNNNNNNNNNNNNNNNNNNNNNNNNNNNNNNNNNNNNNNGAGAAUAACGCAAGGAACGAAAGGUCAGGUGCGUGUAGGUCGCUGGGCCAAAGCCGCCUGAGUAGCUGUGGCUUGGUAUGGAUGAUAAAGCAACUGAAUCAAUUUGCCACCGGUGUUGAGGCGAGGGCGACCUGACCGCGAAAUACACGGCCCGAGGGCACGCCCCGUAUCAACACCCCUCGCGACCUCCAAACACGUGCACUGAACCGCGAAGCCCUCCCCCAAGCCUAUCGCGGCUGCUAUUCCCAUGUCCUCCUCCCCAACCAUUCUGCAUACAGGCUCUGGCGUGAGUCCCUGCCCGCGUCAUUUGACACCCGUCGACCACGACUGAGGUGCAACGCAUGUCGCUUACAAAUCCAACAUCCCGCCCGACACGAGAGGGGCAGAAACGGCGGGGCAGACGGCCAGCCUCUUGAACAUGAGCAUAGCAGUGCAAUAUCGCACAUUGGGUCCCCGCCUGCUUCACCUGGCCACCUUUGCUGAUUUGUCUGACAUCCCUGUCUACACACUUUUAUCCGCCCACGCUUGAGACGUCCUCCUCAGCGCGCAGGCUUCACGGUACCAACCGUGCGGUAUCAUCGCUACAUGAUGAGUGCACUGCCCCAACCAUUGAAGCAUCACAAGGUGCUUGCCUGCCGCCGCCGCCGCUGAUACGUACACGAUUGCUGCCACACAACCAACACAUCACACCCAACAAUCACAACAACAAAACAACUGAGACCCGCCGCCGUGCAACGCACACUGUACACGCCCCAGGGCCGAGAACACAACGCAACACAAGCACCUGACAUGCCUCAUCCAGGCAUGCGUCACUCAAUCGCCCACCGAGCCGACCUCGCACACGCCGUUCGUGAGCCCCUGCGGCUGACAUGCCCGGCCCUGCCCCCUUGGCACCGCAGCCCUGCCGCCUUGGCACCGCCGCCCAUUGCCCCACCCCCAUGCUGCGUGCCAUGUAAGAAUAAAGCCAGGUCCCCAUCAAGCCGCAGCAUAUAUCCCCGCCAAGCCACCAGACUCCUCUUGCCGCACGCUACCAACCACCACCAGCACAGGACCGGCACCUGCCUGUCCCCCUGUUUAGUUUGGGCUGAUAUUUACAACCCCCCACCCUCCCCUCCCCACCUUCCCCAUUGCCAACCUCGCCCACCGCGCCGACAUGCACGCCGGCACCUCGCUCGUGCCUCUCGAGGCCUCCCAUCUUCCGUAGCUAGAGAUCCCUGUCCACGAGUAUCCACUUGGGCUCCAGCCCACUCCUGAUGCACACGCCGGCAUUACCCAGGUCUGCAUGGUUUGCAUGCCUGCCUGUCUACCGUGCACGCACACCUGCCUAGCUACGCAGACCUACUACCGUCCUUUUUGACCCGCCUCCGCCGCCACCGCCGCCGUCUCCUCCCUCUGGCCGCCGUGCCGGCCGCGCCAGCAGCUGCUGUUGUGGGUUGCCGCCAGAGCCGCCGCCGCCCUUGUUGCUGUUGGUGGUGGUGGUUGCGGGCUGGUGUGGCGCGGCCGUAGUGACAGCCGCAGCGCCGCCCACGGCACCCGCUGUCACUGUUUCCACCGCCACCGCCGGCUGCUGCAGCCGGCGCAGCAGGUAGGCCUCCUGCUCGGAAGGAGUCAGGAAGUCCCAUUCCCAGUACGGCACUAGUAGGACGCCGCCCUCCUUAAACGCCCGCCGCAGCUGCCGAAUGCGAAUGGCCGUACCCCCUUCCACAGCAGCGCUGGGGUCUUGCUGCUGCGUUUGUGUCAAGAGGUAACGUUUCGGUCCGAGGAACUCCACCGCCGCCUGCUGCCCGUCACUCAGCCGCACCACCGCAUCCACUGGCGCCAACACUCCUGGCGCGACAACGCCCGUCUGAAGGGACUGAACGGCUAGGCCCCCUGCUGCCUUGAGGCCCUGCUGCUCAAGCCGCCGCAGCGCUGCAACGACCUGCUUUUGAGUAUCUGAUGUGGGCUUGGCGUCUUCCCUCUCAGUAGUCACCGCCGCUGCCAUCGCCGCCUGCAGUCCGCUGCCGCUGCCCAGGGCCGCCGCCACCUCGCCGCCUAGCUCCUGCUGCGCCUGCCACAGCUGUUUGAGAUGCUCAGUUGUAAGACCCUCCCAACGGCUUACUGCUUCACGGGCCAGCUGAAUGGAUAGCUGCUUCAUGUCGGGAGAAUACGUGCCUCCGAACACAGCCAUGGCCCACAGGCUGUUGCAUACGUGCUGGUGCAGGACUGUGUCAGAGUCAUGCUGCAGCAGCUCGCCCAGCCGACCGCACACCGCCGCCUCCAAGCCAGCGUGCCGCAGCUGCAGCACCGCCAGCGCGUACAGCGUAUUGGCACAGUUCUGACCACCGGCACUACUGGCGCGCAUGGCUGCUACUGCUGCGCCCGAGUCAAGCAGCUCCGCCGGCGGCUGGUGGCGCAUCAACGCAAGCGCGUACAGCAGAUUGGACCAGGCCUGAGAUGUUGCGCGGGCCAUGGCGCCCGACUGCGUUGCUGCGUCCACCGCUGCUGAAACCCACUGCCGCUGCUCUGCCGGCGCCUCCGGGCCCGCCCCAAAUCCCAUCUUGGCUAGGGCCCACGCUGAGUUGCUGAGGUCCUGAGCGAUGUACCCGUCAAACCCCCGCCGCAUGUCCUCUUCGGCCACUGCCACCACCAGCUCUGCCUGCUCGCUGCAUAGCUGCAGCCCCUCCAGCGCCAGCAGGAUGUUGGAUAGCUGUUGCGGGAUAAAUGCUGCAGCGAGCUCCGGUUUCCGGAGCUGCUGCAGUGCCUCCCCGCACAGCGCCUCAACUGCUGACCGGUACUCUGGUCCUGUGCACCCCAGAGCUUUGAGAGCCCAUAGGCUGUUUGAAACAUCUUGCGGCUUGAAGCCGUGGCCCGCCACCGUUCUCAAGCGAGAAGCCACAGCUGCCGCCAAGGUCUGCAAGUGCGGAGAUGAGGUGGGGUCCCAGCCUGAGCCCCGCUGCUGCUGGUCUUGCUUGAGCUUGCCGAGCGCGUACAUGACAAUUGCGAGGUUCUGAGGUUCCGCCUUCCCAAGAACCUCAGGAUCCACUAGCCGCUCCAGCAGAGCUGCUGCAAGCUGAGCCUCCGUGCCGCCGCCGACCAAUCCAGCUUUGCCCAGCGCCCACAGCGGAAUGCUGCAGUUCUUUGCGUUGCGGAUGCGCGGCACGAGCGGCAGGUAGGCCGGCGCAAGCAUGCCGAUAAUGCUGCUGCGUGCUACAGCCGUUUGGCUUGCUCCAGCGCGCGACUCCAGCUGCGUUCAAAGCAGUUAUGAGGGACAUACAUGGGGUCAAGUGCUAUAUGCAUGUGUUUGUGCGUGUGCGUGAACAGGUGCGCAUGCAAGUCCUGUGUGGCCAUCUGCGUCGUGAGAACCGGAAGUCCGGGCCGAGAACGACAACAAUGGACUCGCCCUCCAUUCUGCACUUCAUUUCUGUGCCCAUUCCCACCUGCACGUAUUAGUCCUCCCUCUCACCUUGCCGCACAGGUUGAACGCCGCACACAUGGUAAUGAAGUCUUUUCGGCCCUCCCACACUGAUAGCCGCUGGCUGAUGAUUGCUUGCAGCUCCUCCAGAGUCCGACACACGGUCAUGUCAUCCGCGGGGUCACGCCCGCUGCCCCUGCUUCUGCCGCUGGCGCGGCUGCCAUCGCCUGCCCUGCCUCCGCCGCUUCCCCUACCCGCCGCCGCCUGCACUAUUGGCCGCCCGAGGCGGGAGCUACUGCUGCCGCAGAGCACUACCGCCGUCGAGACGCGCAGUGGGGAUGAGCUGCUACUGUUGAGUGCUGGGACAGAAGUAGCGGCGGCAGCGCGCGGUGAGCUGGGGCCGGUGUCGGCAGCGGUCCGAUGCAUGCCAUAAACGAACAGUCUUCUAAACGCGCACGCCGGUGGCGGUGCCUGGAGACGGGCUGAUAACGAUUGGCUACAGCCAUGUACGCUGUGCCUGUGCGCACCAGCGGGAGAGCCCGCGACGACGCGCAGGGCGAGCAUCUCGGGCCUCCUCACGGCGGCGACCUGAGCUAUAGCGACUCUAUCCGUCUACGUGUCUGAGCACUGCAAAUGCAUUAGGCUUGCAUUUGUGGGAGAAUAACGCAAGGAACGAAAGGUCAGGUGCGUGUAGGUCGCUGGGCCAAAGCCGCCUGAGUAGCUGUGGCUUGGUAUGGAUGAUAAAGCAACUGAAUCAAUUUGCCACCGGUGUUGAGGCGAGGGCGACCUGACCGCGAAAUACACGGCCCGAGGGCACGCCCCGUAUCAACACCCCUCGCGACCUCCAAACACGUGCACUGAACCGCGAAGCCCUCCCCCAAGCCUAUCGCGGCUGCUAUUCCCAUGUCCUCCUCCCCAACCAUUCUGCAUACAGGCUCUGGCGUGAGUCCCUGCCCGCGUCAUUUGACACCCGUCGACCACGACUGAGGUGCAACGCAUGUCGCUUACAAAUCCAACAUCCCGCCCGACACGAGAGGGGCAGAAACGGCGGGGCAGACGGCCAGCCUCUUGAACAUGAGCAUAGCAGUGCAAUAUCGCACAUUGGGUCCCCGCCUGCUUCACCUGGCCACCUUUGCUGAUUUGUCUGACAUCCCUGUCUACACACUUUUAUCCGCCCACGCUUGAGACGUCCUCCUCAGCGCGCAGGCUUCACGGUACCAACCGUGCGGUAUCAUCGCUACAUGAUGAGUGCACUGCCCCAACCAUUGAAGCAUCACAAGGUGCUUGCCUGCCGCCGCCGCCGCUGAUACGUACACGAUUGCUGCCACACAACCAACACAUCACACCCAACAAUCACAACAACAAAACAACUGAGACCCGCCGCCGCGCAACGCACACUGCUGUACACGCCCCAGGGCCGAGAACACAACGCAACACAAGCACCUGACAUGCCUCAUCCAGGCAUGCGUCACUCAAUCGCCCACCGAGCCGACCUCGCACACGCCGUUCGUGAGCCCCUGCGGCUGACAUGCCCGGCCCUGCCCCCUUGGCACCGCAGCCCUGCCGCCUUGGCACCGCCGCCCAUUGCCCCACCCCCAUGCUGCGUGCCAUGUAAGAAUAAAGCCAGGUCCCCAUCAAGCCGCAGCAUAUAUCCCCGCCAAGCCACCACACUCCUCUUGCCGCACGCUACCAACCACCACCAGCACAGGACCGGCACCUGCCUGUCCCCCUGUUUAGUUUGGGCUGAUAUUUACAACCCCCCACCCUCCCCUCCCCACCUUCCCCAUUGCCAACCUCGCCCACCGCGCCGACAUACACGCCGGCACCUCGCUCGUGCCUCUCGAGGCCUCCCAUCUUCCGUAGCUAGAGAUCCCCAUCCACUAGCAUCCACUUGGGCUCCAGCCCACUCCUGAUGCACACGCCAGCAUUAUCCAGGUCUGCAUGGUUUGCAUGUCUGCCUACCGUGCACGCACACCUGCCUAGCUACGCCGACCUACUACCGUCCUCCUCGACCCGACCCGCCGCCGCCGCCGCCUCCCUCUGGCCGCCGUGCCGGCCGCACCAGCAGCUGCUGUUGUGGGUUGCCGCCAGAGCCGCCGCCGCCCUUGCUGGUAGUGGUGGUGGUUGCGGGCUGCUGCGGCGCGGCCGUAAUGACAGCCGCAGCGCCGCCCACGGCACCCACUGCCACUGUUUCCACCGCCACCGCCGGCUGCUGCAGCCGGCGCAGCAGGUAGGCCUCCUGCUCCUCCGGGCUCUUCAGGCCCGCCCACUCCCAGUACGGCAGCACAAGAACGCCGCCGCCCUCCCCGAACGCCCGCCGCAGCUGCCGAAUGCGCAUGGCCGUACCACCGUCAACAGCGGUGGGGUCGCGCUUUAGAUUGGACAGAAAGCGUGCCGGUCCGAGGAGCUCCACCGCCGCCUGCUGCCCGUCACUCAGCCGCACCACCGCAUCCACUGGCGCCAACGCGCCUUGCGCGACCACGCCCGUUUGUACGGACACGACGGCAAGGCCUCCUGCUGCCUCACGCCCCUGGUGCUGCUCAAGCCGCCGCAGCGCUGCGACGACCUGCUUUUGGAUGUCAGAUGUGGGCUUGGCGUUUUCCCUCUCAGCAGUCACCGCCGCUGCCAUCGCCGCCUGCAGGCCGGGGCUGCUCCCCAGGGCCGCCGCAACCUCGCCGCCUAGCUCUUGCUGCGCCUGCCACAGCUGAUUGAGAUUCUCAGUUGUAAAACCCUCCCAACGGCUUACUGCUUCACGGGCUAGCUGAAUGGAUAGCUGCUGCAUGUCGGGAGAAUACGUGCCUCCAAUCACCGCCAUGGCCCACAGGCUGUUUGAUAUGUUUUGGUUGUUUACCGCCUGCCUGUCGCGCUGCAGCAGCUCGCCCAGCCGGCCGCACACCGCCGCCUCCAAGCCAGCGUGCCGCAGCUGCAGCACCGCCAGCGCCCAGAGCGUGUUUGCACAGUUCUGACCACCGGCACUACUGGCGCGCAUGGCUGCUGCUGCUGCACCCGCAUCCAGCAGCUCCGGCGGCGGCUGGUGGCGCAUCAACGCAAGCGCGUACAGCAGGUUGGCCCAGGCCUGAGGCGUCGCACGGGCCAUGACGCCCGGCCGCAUUGCUGCGACCACCGCUGCCGAAGCCCACUGCCGCUGCUCUGCCGGCGCCUCCGGGCCCACCCCAAAUCCGAUCUUGGCCAGGGCCCACGCUGAGUUGCUGAGGUCCUGAGCCACGUACCCGGCAAAUCCCCGACGCACGUCCUCUGCGGCCACUGCCACCACCAGCUCUGCCUGCUCGCCGCCCAGCUGCAGCCCCUCCAGCGCCAGCAGGAUGUUGGACAGAUGCUGCGGCUUGAACGCUUCAGCAUCCUUCGGUGCUCGGAGCUGCCGCAGCGCCUCCCCGCACAGCGCCUCAACUGCUGAUCGGUACUCUGGUCCCAUGCAACCCAAAGCCGCAAACGCCCAGAGGGUAUUGGACAGAUGUUGCGUCUCCAUGCUGAGACUGAGCGCCGCUGCCGCCUCUGCCAGCGGCAGCAGGAGUUCCGGUUCCGGGUAACCCAGCUUGGCGCACGCCCAGAGAAUGUUGGACACGUCCUGUGCUGUGAAGCCGUGACCAACCGCCACUCCCAACCGGGAGGCCACAGCUGCCGCCAAGGUCUGCAAGUGCGGAGAUGAGGUGGGGUCCCAGCCUGAGCCCCGCUGCUCCUGGUCUUGCUUGAUCUUGCCGAGUGCGUACAUGACGUUUGUAAGACUUUGAGGUUUUGCAGUUCCAAGAACCUCUGAAUCCAACAGCCGCUCCAGCAGCGCUGCUAUGAGCUGAGCCUCCAUGGCCGAGCCGCCGCUGAUCCCUGCUUUCCCCAGCGCCCACAGCACGAUGCUGCAAUCAACCGCCUUGCGGAUGCGCGGCACGAGCGGCAGGUAGGCCGGCGCAAGCAUGCCGAUAAUGCUGCUGCGUGCUACAGCCGUUUGGCUUGCUCCAGCGCGCGACUCCAGCUGCGUUCAAAACAGUUAUGAGGGACAUACAUGGGGUCAAGUGCUAUAUGCAUGUGUUUGUGCGUGUGCGUGAACAGGUGCGCAUGCAAGUCCUGUGUGGCCAUCUGCGUCGUGAGAACCGGAAGUCCGGGCCGAGAAUGACAAC